rnacentral:rRNA from 1 species
UACGUAGGGUGCGAGCGUUAAUCGGAAUUACUGGGCGUAAAGCGUGCGCAGGCGGUUCUGUAAGUCAGCUGUGAAAGCCCCGGGCUUAACCUGGGAACUGCGGUUGAAACUACAGGACUAGAAUCUGGCAGAGGGGGGUGGAAUUCCACGUGUAGCAGUGAAAUGCGUAGAGAUGUGGAGGAACACCGAUGGCGAAGGCAGCCCCCUGGGCUGAGAUUGACGCUCAUGCACGAAAGCGUGGGGAGCAAACAGG